CUGCCUUGUCGCACAGCACAGGGAGAGAGGCUCCGACGGCGACAGGAAAUCCGGCGCCGGCGUGAGCUGCACCUCCCCUCCGCUGCCAGGUGAGGAAGGAAGGGAAGAAGGUCAGCGACUGUAACUUUUAUUCUUGAUUCCUGCAUUGUCAAGGUAGGACAUGGAACCAAACAAAGGAAAGGUAGGGACCAAUCAUGAGUCAUGGACAUCAGCUAUGUCCAGUUUCAUGCUAUCUCAUUUAGCCAACAUAGUGGCUAGUGGCACAAGGACCUCAUUUGGUUUUAAACAAGUUCAUCUCAGAGGAUGUGCUAGAGCUCUCAAUGAGAAGUUCAUGACUGAUCUAACGAGUGAUCAGAUGUCAAAUCAUUUGAAGACAUGGAGAAAAAAGUUCCAAAAAAUAAAUAAACUAAGGGAAGUAAGUGGUGCCAUUUGGGAUGAAGAUAAUUUUAUCAUAUCCCUAGAUGACAACCACUACAAUGAUCAUGUGCAGGUUCACAAAGGUGACGCAGAAUUUUUUAACAAACCUCUUGUCAACUAUGGUGAGAUGCUUACCAUCUUUGGGAGCACCAUAGCUACUGGAAAAUAUACAAGGGACUCUAGCUCAGUUCUAGGUACAGAUGAUGUUGCUACUGAAAUUCAUGAUAUGGAUGAUGGUACUGGAACAAUGGAUCAUGAUGAGAGAUCUUCUGCAAGAAAGCCAAGACAUGUGUCCAUGAUGACGAGGGGCUGAUUGGAGCAUUUGAAAGAGUUGGUGACAAGCUUGUCGCCGCUAUAGCUAAGGCUGGUACCCCUGACAAUGACAUUCCUGCUGAUUUGUUUCAAAACUUGAAUAGUAUUCCAGGUUUUGAGCGAAUCCACAUCUCUCACUACUAUGCUUACUUGGUGGCUAACCCUCACAUUGCUAGAGCUUUCAACAAUCUUCCAUUCGAGAACAAGUUGGACAUGGUUGCUAUGUAUGUUACUGAGAAGUUUCCUGGCUCCAUGUAAGGUUGUGUAUGGGUUAAGAAUUAUUUUGCUAUGGACUAAGGUGCCAUUAUGUGUAAGGCAUAAAUUGACAAUUACGUGUAACCCAUGGAUUACUACCUAUAUGUAGAACAUGAAUUUGUUAUCCUCAUAGGUAAGACUUGUAUUAUCCUUAUAUUAUUUAGAAUGUGGAUUGAUUGGCUUGUCAAUGUUUAAAAAAUGCUAUUUAUGU